UCACAUUUUGACGGACUCACAAGUACUCUACCCAUUUAUUGAUAACUCAUUUCUAUCUAUUUAUAAUUUAGACUAUUUAUUUAACACUUCUCAAACAUUCUUUCAAUCUUUUCUUUUUCUUUUUAAUUUUUUUUUCCAAAGGAAUUAUUUUCUGAGAUCCUUGUUAGGGAUUUUUAGUAUGGGUAUGACUGCUUUUUCAUUGUAUUGAUUAUUGAAUAAAACUACAGCUUCUUCUUUGAUUGCAUUCGUUAUCAAUUAUAGAUAUUGUGUGACAUAGAACUUAAUGAACAAGAAUGAUAAUCAAGAGAAAUUAGAGUGAGAAAUAUGCGUUUAUUCAAUAAUCAAGUCUAGGUAUUACAAUGGAUAGAGUUUAAGCAAAUUUAGUUUAAGAAGGAAACAAAGGUAUUAAGCUUAAAUUAAGUCAAACUAGAAAAUCUAUAACUUAAAUCUUAAUUUUAGUCAAACUGGGAAAACUAUGAUAAAUUAAAUUAAGCUAAUCCAAAUUAAUCCAUCUUUAUUCCUAAUCUACCAAGAGUUUCUAUUAUUUUUAUAUUCAUUCCCCAUCAAUAUGUCUAAACGUAGAAGUUAUAAGGAAAUUUGAAGGUUUUUUUUUUUUUUUUUUUUUUUUUUUUUUUUUUUUUUUUUUU
rnacentral:lncRNA from 1 species